rnacentral:tRNA from 1 species
GAGAGUAUAGCUCAAGUGGUAGAGCACAUGCUUAGCAUGCAUAUAGGUCCUGGGUUCAAUCCCCAGUACCUCCU